CCAGAAUUGAACUGUGCCAGGCUGCUUCCUUGGACUACUCGAAAAAAGGUGCUGUAUUCCUGGAGAUGCUGAAUAAUUGCUUGGAUCAAAUACGGGCCCCAACUGCUGAGAAUCGGCUGUUCAUGCGUUGUGAUGUUAACUUUGAUACCUCCUCCUAUGGCAGGAGCUUCAACUCAUUGAUUGGGCGGGCCGCCCAUAUCGAGUUUUUGGAGUCCGACAACUUUGUGAAGUUCAUAAUGUGGUCAUUUCCAGAACUAUUUCGUUGAUUUCCAGGGAAGUCACGUACCAUCUCCACCCUACCAGUGUUGCUGGUAUCUUCUGUAGGUGAUUCACUUGGUUAUCUUUUGACAAGGGACAGGCAAAAAUGGAUUGGGAGGUCAGGUAGCGAACUUGUGGCAGCUGCACUCUUCCGUAUCAACAUGCAUAUUCUUGUUGACCUACAAUGUUGUUUGCGUGCUGUUCGACAGCAAGUUGGUCGGGAAUGAGAUUUGAAGUCAUCAUUUGUUUAUAAGUAAAAUAUGACUCAUGGUUUCGUGGACAGUAGUGUAAUUAUUUUAGGUUAGGUAGAAUGCUUAUAUAAAAUUAGGCCUUUGCCUAUUUGGUUCCAAUGUUUGCCAGAUAACAGGAUUGUGCGUGAAAACAGUUGAAGUGAAGAAACUCAAUAUAGCAGCUAUCCAGUUUACAUGUUAUAAUAAUGUUUAUCAUAACAAAUUUUAUUACUUGCUCUUUU
rnacentral:misc_RNA from 1 species